GCAAGUCGAACGGUGAACAGAGGUGCUUGCACCUUUGGGAUCAGUGGCGAACGGGUGAGUAACACGUGAGCAAUCUGCCCUUGACUCUGGGAUAAGCGUUGGAAACGACGUCUAAUACCGGAUACGAACUUCCCCGGCAUCGGGAGGAGUUGGAAAGAAUUUUGGUCAAGGAUGAGCUCGCGGCCUAUCAGCUUGUUGGUGAGGUAAUGGCUCACCAAGGCGACGACGGGUAGCCGGCCUGAGAGGGUGACCGGCCACACUGGGACUGAGACACGGCCCAGACUCCUACGGGAGGCAGCAGUGGGGAAUAUUGCACAAUGGGCGCAAGCCUGAUGCAGCAACGCCGCGUGAGGGACGACGGCCUUCGGGUUGUAAACCUCUUUUAGCAGGGAAGAAGCGAAAGUGACGGUACCUGCAGAAAAAGCACCGGCUAACUACGUGCCAGCAGCCGCGGUAAUACGUAGGGUGCAAGCGUUGUCCGGAAUUAUUGGGCGUAAAGAGCUCGUAGGCGGUUUGUCGCGUCUGCUGUGAAAUCCCGAGGCUCAACCUCGGGCCUGCAGUGGGUACGGGCAGACUAGAGUGCGGUAGGGGAGAUUGGAAUUCCUGGUGUAGCGGUGGAAUGCGCAGAUAUCAGGAGGAACACCGAUGGCGAAGGCAGAUCUCUGGGCCGUAACUGACGCUGAGGAGCGAAAGCGUGGGGAGCGAACAGGAUUAGAUACCCUGGUAGUCCACGCCGUAAACGUUGGGAACUAGAUGUGGGGACCAUUCCACGGUCUCCGUGUCGCAGCUAACGCAUUAAGUUCCCCGCCUGGGGAGUACGGCCGCAAAGCUAAAACUCAAAGGAAUUGACGGGGGCCCGCACAAGCGGCGGAGCAUGCGGAUUAUUUCGAUGCAACGCGAGACCUUACAAAGCUUGACAUAUACGAGAACGGGCCAGACAUGGUCACUCUUUGGACACUCGUAAACAGGUGGUGCAUGGUUGUCGUCAGCUCGUGUCGUGAGAUGUUGGGUUAAGUCCCGCAACGAGCGCAACCCUCGUCCUAUGUUGCCAGCACGUAAUGGUGGGAACUCAUGGGAUACUGCCGGGGUCAACUCGGAGGAAGGUGGGGAUGACGUCAAAUCAUCAUGCCCCUUAUGUCUUGGGCUUCACGCAUGCUACAAUGGCCGGUACAAAGGGCUGCAAUACCGUAAGGUGGAGCGAAUCCCAAAAAGCCGGUCUCAGUUCGGAUUGAGGUCUGCAACUCGACCUCAUGAAGUCGGAGUCGCUAGUAAUCGCAGAUCAGCAACGCUGCGGUGAAUACGUUCCCGGGCCUUGUACACACCGCCCGUCAAGUCAUGAAAGUCGGUAACACCCGAAGCCAGUGGCCUAACCCGCAAGGGGAGGAGCUGUCGAAGGUGGGAUCGGUGAUUAGGACUAAGUCGUAACAAGGU
rnacentral:rRNA from 1 species